rnacentral:rRNA from 1 species
AGCGAACGCCGGCGGCAGGCCUAACACAUGCAAGUCGAACGGACCCUUCGGGGUUAGUGGCGGACGGGUGAGUAACACGUGGGAACGUGCCUUUAGGUUCGGAAUAGCUCCUGGAAACGGGUGGUAAUGCCGAAUGUGCCCUUCGGGGGAAAGAUUUAUCGCCUUUAGAGCGGCCCGCGUCUGAUUAGCUAGUUGGUGAGGUAAUGGCUCACCAAGGCGACGAUCAGUAGCUGGUCUGAGAGGAUGACCAGCCACAUUGGGACUGAGACACGGCCCAAACUCCUACGGGAGGCAGCAGUGGGGAAUCUUGCGCAAUGGGCGAAAGCCUGACGCAGCCAUGCCGCGUGGAUGAUGAAGGUCUUAGGAUUGUAAAAUCCUUUCACCGGUGAAGAUAAUGACUGUAGCCGGAGAAGAAGCCCCGGCUAACUUCGUGCCAGCCGCCGCGGUAA